ACAUAUAAUAUACUUUUUUAUAUAUACUACAUCAAUAAUUGCACAUUCAUUAAUAAAAGGCAAGAAUUUAAGUAUACAUAUACGGCUACCACUGAACGUUUAUAAGCAAAAACAUUUGAAAGUGCAGCCAACUUUCCGAAAAGUUAUAUUGAAAUUGAACUCUCCUGCGAGGAAUAUAGGCAAUUAAGUAAAGAAAUACCAUUUCUUUUUUGCAAAUAUAUAUUUUUGUAUUUGUAAUCUGAUUGGAUCAUUUAUAUGACAAAUCUAAAAUAUCCAAUCAUGAUUAAAAUAUACUAUUAAUAAAAAGAUAUCAAUAGAUAUCUAUGUAUUAAUUGAAUAUUUAAAUUAUUUGAUAUGGAUAAAAAAGAAAGAACAAAGGGAGAAUUUGAAUUUAUCCAAAGGAUAUCGAAAUUCCAUAUUUCGUGUUACUUAAUUUAGAUUUAAAUAUAUUCAUUACUGUCUUUAAAGUGACUAAGAAGUACUUCAAUUUCAAAAUUUGGAUCCAAAAGAACAUUCAUACCUUCUAUUCUAUUUUUAACAUAUUUUCUGAAUACCUUUUUAGAAGCUUCCCACAAUGUUUUAUUAUAUUUUAAGAUCUUAACAAGUGGUUGUGCCAUAGGAAAUAGCAUGGCCAAAUUACUGAGAAAAACAAAAACAUUUUUCAUAAAGAUUAUAAAGGAAAGUUUUGUAGAUAUACUUACUUAAAAAGUGGUUCUACUAUAUCUGUAAUGAAUUGUACUUGAAGAUCUGGUAUAAAUGCUUUAUCUCUA